CAGUCGCCGCGGGAAUACGAAGGGGGCUAGCGUUGUUCGGAAUUACUGGGCGUAAAGCGCACGUAGGCGGAUAUUUAAGUCAGGGGUGAAAUCCCAGAGCUCAACUCUGGAACUGCCUUUGAUACUGGGUAUCUUGAGUAUGGAAGAGGUGAGUGGAAUUCCGAGUGUAGAGGUGAAAUUCGUAGAUAUUCGGAGGAACACCAGUGGCGAAGGCGGCUCACUGGUCCAUUACUGACGCUGAGGUGCGAAAGCGUGGGGAGCAAACAGGAUUAGAUACCCCUGUAGUCCCUGUCUCUUAUAC
rnacentral:rRNA from 1 species